rnacentral:rRNA from 2 species
UGGAGAGUUUGAUCCUGGCUCAGAACGAACGCUGGCGGCAGGCUUAACACAUGCAAGUCGAACGCCCCGCAAGGGGAGUGGCAGACGGGUGAGUAACGCGUGGGAAUCUACCCAUCUCUGCGGAAUAGCUCUGGGAAACUGGAAUUAAUACCGCAUACGCCCUACGGGGGAAAGAUUUAUCGGGGAUGGAUGAGCCCGCGUUGGAUUAGCUAGUUGGUGGGGUAAAGGCCUACCAAGGCGACGAUCCAUAGCUGGUCUGAGAGGAUGAUCAGCCACAUUGGGACUGAGACACGGCCCAAACUCCUACGGGAGGCAGCAGUGGGGAAUAUUGGACAAUGGGCGCAAGCCUGAUCCAGCCAUGCCGCGUGAGUGAUGAAGGCCUUAGGGUUGUAAAGCUCUUUCACCGAUGAAGAUAAUGACGGUAGUCGGAGAAGAAGCCCCGGCUAACUUCGUGCCAGCAGCCGCGGUA